rnacentral:rRNA from 1 species
GUUUGACUCUAGAGAUAGAGCCUUCCCCUUCGGGGGACAAAGUGACAGGUGGUGCAUGGUUGUCGUCAGCUCGUGUCGUGAGAUGUUGGGUUAAGUCCCGCAACGAGCGCAACCCUUAAGCUUAGUUGCCAUCAUUAAGUUGGGCACUCUAGGUUGACUGCCGGUGACAAACCGGAGGAAGGUGGGGAUGACGUCAAAUCAUCAUGCCCCUUAUGAUUUGGGCUACACACGUGCUACAAUGGACAAUACAAAGGGCAGCUAAACCGCGAGGUCAUGCAAAUCCCAUAAAGUUGUUCUCAGUUCGGAUUGUAGUCUGCAACUCGACUACAUGAAGCUGGAAUCGCUAGUAAUCGUAGAUCAGCAUGCUACGGUGAAUACGUUCCCGGGUCUUGAAAACACGCAA